UUCGGAGACACCGGUGACAGGUGGUGCAUGGUUGUCGUCAGCUCGUGUCGUGAGAUGUUGGGUUAAGUCCCGCAACGAGCGCAACCCUUGACCUUAGUUGCCAGCAUUCAGUUGGGCACUCUAAGGUGACUGCCGGUGACAAACCGGAGGAAGGUGGGGAUGACGUCAAAUCAUCAUGCCCCUUAUGUCCUGGGCUACACACGUGCUACAAUGGGCAGUACAAAGGGUUGCGAACCCGCGAGGGGGAGCUAAUCCCAAAAAGCUGCUCUCAGUUCGGAUUGCAGGCUGCAACUCGCCUGCAUGAAGCUGGAAUCGCUAGUAAUCGCGGAUCAGCAUGCCGCGGUGAAUACGUUCCCGGGCCUUGUACACACCGCCCGUCACACCACGAGAGUCUGUAACACCCGAAGUCGGUGAGGU
rnacentral:rRNA from 1 species